UGAACGCUGGCGGCGUGCUUAACACAUGCAAGUCGAACGAAGCACUUUAUUUGAUUUCCUUCGGGACUGAUUAUUUUGUGACUGAGUGGCGGACGGGUGAGUAACGCGUGGGUAACCUGCCUUGUACAGGGGGAUAACAGUUGGAAACGGCUGCUAAUACCGCAUAAGCGCACAGCAUCGCAUGAUGCAGUGUGAAAAACUCCGGUGGUAUAAGAUGGACCCGCGUUGGAUUAGCUAGUUGGUGAGGUAACGGCCCACCAAGGCGACGAUCCAUAGCCGACCUGAGAGGGUGACCGGCCACAUUGGGACUGAGACACGGCCCAAACUCCUACGGGAGGCAGCAGUGGGGAAUAUUGCACAAUGGGCGAAAGCCUGAUGCAGCGACGCCGCGUGAGCGAAGAAGUAUUUCGGUAUGUAAAGCUCUAUCAGCAGGGAAGAUAAUGACGGUACCUGACUAAGAAGCACCGGCUAAAUACGUG
rnacentral:rRNA from 1 species